UGGUGGGUAGUUUGACUGGGGCGGUCUCCUCCCAAAGAGUAACGGAGGAGCACGAAGGUUAGCUAAUCCUGGUCGGACAUCAGGAGGUUAGUGCAAUGGCAUAAGCUAGCUUGACUGCGAGCGUGACGGCGCGAGCAGGUGCGAAAGCAGGUCAUAGUGAUCCGGUGGUUCUGAAUGGAAGGGCCAUCGCUCAACGGAUAAAAGGUACUCCGGGGAUAACAGGCUGAUACCGCCCAAGAGUUCAUAUCGACGGCGGUGUUUGGCACCUCGAUGUCGGCUCAUCACAUCCUGGGGCUGAAGUAGGUCCCAAGGGUAUGGCUGUUCGCCAUUUAAAGUGGUACGCGAGCUGGGUUUAGAACGUCGUGAGACAGUUCGGUCCCUAUCUGCCGUGGGCGCUGGAGAAUUGAGGGGGGCUGCUCCUAGUACGAGAGGACCGGAGUGGACGCAUCACUGGUGUUCGGGUUGUCAUGCCAAUGGCAUUGCCCGGUAGCUAAAUGCGGAAAAGAUAAGUGCUGAAAGCAUCUAAGCACGAAACUUGCCCCGAGAUGAGUUCUCCCUGACUCCU
rnacentral:rRNA from 1 species